AGCGAACGCUGGCGGCAGGCCUAACACAUGCAAGUCGAACGAACCCUUCGGGGUUAGUGGCGGACGGGCGAGUAACACGUGGGAACGUGCCUUUAGGUUCGGAAUAACUCAGGGAAACUUGUGCUAAUACCGAAUGUGCCCUUCGGGGGAAAGAUUUAUCGCCUUUGGAGCGGCCCGCGUCUGAUUAGCUAGUUGGGGAGGUAAGGGCUAACCAAGGCUACGAUCAGUAGCUGGUCUGAGAGGAUGACCAGCCACAUUGGGACUGAGAAACGGCCCAAACGCCUACGGGAGGCAGCAGUGGGGAAUUUUGCGCAAUGGGCGAAAGCCUGACGCAGCCAUGCCGCGUGGAUGAUGAAGGUCUUAGGAUUGUAAAAUCCUUUCACCGGUGAAGAUAAUGACUGUAGCCGGAGAAGAAGCCCCGGCUAACUUCGUGCCAGCAGCCGCCGUAACAC
rnacentral:rRNA from 1 species